rnacentral:rRNA from 1 species
UACAUAGGGAGCAAGCGUUAUCCGGAAUUAUUGGGUGUAAAGGGUGCGUAGACGGAGGAACAAGUUGGUUGUGAAAUCCCUCGGCUUAACUGAGGAACUGCAACUAAAACUAUUCCCCUUGAGUGUCGGAGAGGAAAGUGGAAUUCCUAGUGUAGCGGUGAAAUGCGUAGAUAUUAGGAGGAACACCAGUGGCGAAGGCGACUUUCUGGACGAUAACUGACGUUGAGGCACGAAAGUGUGGGGAGCAAACAGG